CUCCUCCACACCGCGCGCCUCUUUUCUUCUUUCCGCUUUGCAUUCGGCGCGUGCACGUCCGCCGUGGUGCGGGAGUGGGCGGUCACGCGGGGUGGACCUCCUGCACAUAAAUAAGGACAGAAGACUGAACCUGUGUGUGACGUGUCCCCUCCCCAAAACCAUACAUUCAGAAUUAACUUUCACUACGCUGGGUGGGUUAAAGAACCAAUCACACCACGCCCAAAGGAGCCUCCAGAAACGUGACUCCCAGCUCUCCUCUGU